CAGUCGCCGCGGUAAUACGUAGGGUGCAAGCGUUAAUCGGAAUUACUGGGCGUAAAGCGUGCGCAGGCGGUUCGCUAAGACAGAUGUGAAAUCCCCGGGCUUAACCUGGGAACUGCAUUUGUGACUGGCGGGCUAGAGUAUGGCAGAGGGGGGUAGAAUUCCACGUGUAGCAGUGAAAUGCGUAGAGAUGUGGAGGAAUACCGAUGGCGAAGGCAGCCCCCUGGGCCAAUACUGACGCUCAUGCACGAAAGCGUGGGGAGCAAACAGGAUUAGAUACCCCUGUAGUCCCUGUCUCUUAUAC
rnacentral:rRNA from 1 species